rnacentral:rRNA from 1 species
UACGUAGGGUGCGAGCGUUAAUCGGAAUUACUGGGCGUAAAGCGUGCGCAGGCGGUUCGUUGUGUCGGUGGUGAAAGCCCCGGGCUUAACCUGGGAACUGCAUUGGUGACUGGCAGGCUUUGAGUGUGGCAGAGGGAGGUAGAAUUCCACGUGUAGCAGUGAAAUGCGUAGAGAUGUGGAGGAAUACCGAUGGCGAAGGCAGCCUCCUGGGCCAACACUGACGCUCAUGCACGAAAGCGUGGGGAGCAAACAGG